UAUUGCACAAUGGGGGAAACCCUGAUGCAGUGACGCCGCGUGAGUGAAGAAGUAUUUCGGUAUGUAAAGCUCUAUCAGCAGGGAAGAAAAUGACGGUACCUGACUAAGAAGCCCCGGCUAACUCCGUGCCAGCAGCCGCGGUAAUACGUAGGGGGCAAGCGUUAUCCGGAUUUACUGGGUGUAAAGGGAGCGUAGACGGUAAAGCAAGUCUGAAGUGAAAUGCCAGUGCUCAACACUGGAACUGCUUUGGAAACUGUUUGGCUGGAGUGCAGGAGAGGUAAGUGGAAUUCCUAGUGUAGCGGUGAAAUGCGUAGAUAUUAGGAGGAACACCAGUGGCGAAGGCGGCUUACUGGGCUGUAACUGACGUUGAGGCUCGAAAGCGUGGGGAGCAAACAGG
rnacentral:rRNA from 1 species